CUUUGUGCUAACUUUAUAUUUCUAUGUUUCUACGGAAGGGAACUGCCCAUAAGGAUCACUCUCUUGUGGUCUUACAUAUUUCAUUCUAUGGGAUAUUGUCUCCAUAUUCUAUGGGAAUAUGAAGAGGGGAAAACUACCAAAAAUAUGGAAAGAUGAAGGCAGAUUUCAGGAAUGUCAUGUCUUCAGCAAGCGGUUUGCAGUGAUUGUCAACUCCUGGCAUCUCCUGUCCUUACUCUCCACCCAGCAUCCCC
rnacentral:lncRNA from 1 species